CUGUGGUGGAGAGUCAGGAUUGUAGCUCCAAGUAGCCGCUCGUGGUGCGCGUGCACGAACCCUCGGACUAGGCUGGCGAUGGCGACAGCGGAGGACAAGCGCACGUCUCCGGAGCCCGCGGAGCUACCGGCUGCCGUACGCGCGAGCAUAGAGCGGAAGCGGCAGCGGGCGCUGAUGCUGCGCCAGGCCCGGCUGGCGGCUCGGCCCUACCCCUCGGCGGCGGCGGCGGCCACAGGAGGUGGGGACCCCUCCCGCGGCUUUGUGAAGGCAUCCCGGCUGCACUCUGGUGACCCGCUCGGGCUUGGCAUUACCAAUGUAAAAGUCCCUCCCAAAAUGAUUGACACCAAAGGAGGCUUCAUUUUAGAAGAAGAGGAAGAAGAGGAACACGAGACUGCAAAUGUUGUUCACGAACCAGGGCCUGUCAUGGAGUUCGAUUAUGUGAUCUGUGAAGAAUGUGGGAAAGAGUUCAUGGACUCAUACCUUAUGAGCCACUUUGAUUUCCCAACAUGCGAUAGCUGCAGAGAUGCUGACGAUAAACACAAGCUUAUAACCAAAACAGAAGCCAAGCAGGAAUACCUUCUGAAAGACUGCGAUUUAGAGAAGAGAGAGCCCGCGCUUAGGUUCAUCGUGAAGAAGAACCCUCGUCACUCACAGUGGGGUGAUAUGAAGCUCUACCUAAAGUUACAGGUUGUCAAGCGGGCUCUUGAAGUUUGGGGUAGCCAGGAAGCACUGGAAGAUGCAAAGGAAGUAAGGCAGGAAAACCGAGAGAAAAUGAAGCAGAAGAAGUUUGAUAAGAAAGUCAAAGCGCUUGGUGGAUAUGUUCCUGUCCUGACUAGGCCACAGAGGGCUGAGUGGAGUAGACGGUAGAGUAGACUCGAGGAGCUGAUUGUGCAGUUGGCUCAGAACAGAGAGGAGUCAAAGCCAGUCUAAAGGCUUUUUAGUUGGAAAGAAAUUGGAACAUGGUUCCUCUUGAUGCACAGCGAAGCUGACGCAAAGCUUUCUUCUUUAUGGGAAGAACUGCGGCGAGCAGUAAGAAGCAGUGUGUGGAAAAGAGAAACAGCCGCUCACCAACAUGAGUACGGACCAGAGGAAAGCUUAGAAGAUGACAUGUUUCGCAAGACUUGUACCAUGUGUGGCCACGAGCUGACGUAUGAAAAAAUGUGACUUUUAAAAACAUUUAUAUUCAAAUAAAGGCUCUCUUCAGAUGUA